rnacentral:rRNA from 1 species
AUUGAACGCUGGCGGCAGGCCUAACACAUGCAAGUCGAACGAGUGGCGGACGGGUGAGUAAUGUCUGGGAAACUGCCUGAUGGAGGGGGAUAACUACUGGAAACGGUAGCUAAUACCGCAUACCAUCGGAUGUGCCCAGAUGGGAUUAGCUAGUAGGUGGGGUAACGGCUCACCUAGGCGACGAUCCCUAGCUGGUCUGAGAGGAUGACCAGACACACGGGAACUGAGACACGGUCCGGACUCCUACGGGAGGCAGCAGUGGGGAAUAUGGCACAAUGGGCGCAAGCCUGAUGCAGCCAUGCCGCGUGUAUGAAGAAGGCCUUCGGGGUGUAAAGUACUUUCAGCGGGGAGGCGUUACUCGCAGAAGAAGCACCGGCUAACUCCGUGCCAGCAGCCGCGGUAAUUC